UACGAAGGGGGCUAGCGUUGUUCGGAUUUACUGGGCGUAAAGCGCACGUAGGCGGGUUGUUAAGUCAGGGGUGAAAUCCUGGAGCUCAACUCCAGAACUGCCUUUGAUACUGAAGAUCUUGAGUUCGGGAGAGGUGAGUGGAACUGCGAGUGUAGAGGUGAAAUUCGUAGAUAUUCGCAAGAACACCAGUGGCGAAGGCGGCUCACUGGCCCGAUACUGACGCUGAGGCACGAAAGCGUGGGGAGCAAACAGG
rnacentral:rRNA from 1 species